CUGGGAAUAGACUGGGAGAUCUUCUGCUCUAUCUCAACAUCAGCUACUAGCACAGAGCGCCGAAGUAUGUAGCUUGUGGUGAGGAAGAACACAGGAUCU
rfam:Japanese encephalitis virus 3' end of genome.